AGGAGAGAUACAGUCGGAGAGAGAGAGAGACGCUAAGUGAACGAGCUUCGUGAGUUUCAGUAGGUUGUAGAAGGACAUUAUUGUUAUCCAUUACUGAGGCUGACAACCAGUUAUACUUUGUUUUGGAGUAUUGAAAUCUACAAGAGGAGACGGACAUUUGUGACUGUGAAAGAGAGAGCAUCGGGGAAGCUCCUUGGGACCACACAGAGCGAUUUUCCAUCCUGCUGGUGUGAUGUAGACUGUCGCUGCUGUUUUCUGUUCCGGUGAUCUUCCUGCUGUGGUUUCUCCGGUGCUCUGCCUGCUGCCAUCGCCAAGUUCGCCUUUUUCAUAUAUCCCCUUGGCUAGGAUUCUGACUCCCCUCAUCCGCUCCAUCUACAACUUCCUGUAAGGGAGAUCACAUUCUCCGAAACAGUGCUGAUCCAGUUCCACUUUUCCCGAGGAGGCUGCGGUGUCAUCCAUUGUUUUGAAAGGUGUCACUUGAUUGUCAGCUCUCCAUCGCAGCCCUGCAUGGCAGUCAAGAAAAGAACCUCCUGAACCAUUCCUGCUUAACUCACCUCCACUGGACCUUGCAUAUUGUUUUCCAUCUCAACAUCAAACAUAUUGAACGAUACUCUAAAAUUUAUAUAUAAAUCGCCCAGUCCUACGUCAGCCCAAACUUACUUUUCCUGACACAUUUAACAUUAACUUGUACAUAAUUCAUCCCCAUACACUGGAGUAUGUCAUGAGUACAGAUGCCCAUCAAUACACUGUUGCAGAAUAGGUGAAUGACACCAACAUAUGGCACUUGAAGAAAAACUAAUGUCCAGUAUGUGAUAACAGGACAUGCUAGUCAUCAAUUAUCAACAGUGUAGCAAGUUGUUCGUUAAGGGCUAACAGCUGGUUAACAUUACGACAAAAACUAUUUGUUCCGCGUAUUCUCUUGUGUGUAUCGCGUAUCCGUCUCCUCUAGCUGUUGUGGUUGAUAUGACGUAGGUCCUCUAGCUUUGACCAGACGCAAAAAUGGUGACAGCAAAGCACUGUGAUGUCACGUGGUCCUUAUAAAUAUAUACCAGAAACUAUGCACAAAGGACUACUUCACCUGCUGCUGAAUUUUUGAUGUUAUUUAAUAAAUCUC